rnacentral:rRNA from 1 species
UGGCCGAGUAGAGCGGCAAACGGGUGAGUAACACGUAGCUGACCUGCCUCCGCGACGGGGAUAACCACUCGAAAGGGUGGCUAAUACCCGAUAUGCUCACGGGGCUUCGGCCCUGCGAGGAAAGCUCCCGCAAGGGAGCGCGCGGAGAGGGGGCUGCGGCCUAUCAGCUUGUUGGUGGGGUAACGGCCCACCAAGGCGAUGACGGGUAGGGGGCGUGAGAGCGUGGCCCCCCACAUGGGGACUGAGACACGGCCCUGACUCCUACGGGAGGCAGCAGUGGGGAAUCUUCGGCAAUGGGCGCAAGCCUGACCGAGCGACGCCGCGUGGAGGACGAAGGCCUUCGGGUUGUAAACUCCUUUUCAGGGGGAAGAAUAAGCCCGGGAGGCAAUGCCCGGGCGAUGACGGUACCCCUGGAAUAAGCCACGGCUAACUCUGUGCCAGCAGCCGCGGUAAGACAGAGGCGGCGAGCGUUACCCGGAUUCACUGGGCGUAAAGGGUGCGUAGGCGGUCGCGCAUGUCGUCGGUAAAAUCUCCCUGCUCAACGGGGGAGAGGUCCGACGAAACUGCGCGGCUGGAGGGCCGGAGAGGGAGGCGGAACUUCCAGAGUAGCGGUGAAAUGCGUAGAUACUGGAAGGUACCUCAAUAGCGAACGCAGCCUCCUGGCCGGUCCUGACGCUGAGCACGAAAGCGUGGGGAGCAAACGGAUAGAUACCCGGGUAGUCCACGCCCUAA